GAUAAUUGGGGUGAAGUCGUAACAAGGUAGCCGUAUCGGAAGGUGCGGCUGGAUCACCUCCUUUCU
rnacentral:rRNA from 1 species